rnacentral:rRNA from 1 species
UACGAAGGGGGCUAGCGUUGCUCGGAAUUACUGGGCGUAAAGCGCACGUAGGCGGAUUGUUAAGUCGGGGGUGAAAUCCUGGAGCUCAACUCCAGAACUGCCUUCGAUACUGGCGAUCUCGAGUUCGGGAGAGGUGAGUGGAACUGCGAGUGUAGAGGUGAAAUUCGUAGAUAUCAGGAGGAACACCGGUGGCGAAGGCGGCUUUCUGGACACUUACUGACACUGAGACGCGAAAGCGUGGGGAGCAAACAGG